UACGUAGGUGACAAGCGUUGUCCGGAUUUACUGGGCGUAAAGAGCGCGCAGGCGGUCGAUCAAGUCGAGUGUGAAAGCCCCCGGCUCAACUGGGGAGGGUCAUUCGAUACUGAUCGACUCGAAGGCAGGAGAGGGUAGUGGAAUUCCCGGUGUAGUGGUGAAAUGCGUAGAUAUCGGGAGGAACACCAGUGGCGAAGGCGACUACCUGGCCCAUUCUUGACGCUGAGGCGCGAAAGCUAGGGGAGCGA
rnacentral:rRNA from 1 species